rnacentral:rRNA from 1 species
GUAGGUGGCAAGCGUUGUCCGGAAUUAUUGGGCGUAAAGCGCGCAGGCGGUCCUUUAAGUCUGAUGUGAAAGCCCACGGCUCAACCGUGGAGGGUCAUUGGAAACUGGGGGACUUGAGUACAGAAGAGGAAAGCGGAAUUCCAAGUGUAGCGGUGAAAUGCGUAGAGAUUUGGAGGAACACCAGUGGCGAAGGCGGCUUUCUGGUCUGUAACUGACGCUGAGGCGCGAAAGCGUGGGGAGCAAACAGGAUUAGAUACCCUGGUAGUCCACGCCGUAAACGAUGAGUGCUAAGUGUUAGGGGGUUUCCCGCCCCCUUAGUGCUGCAGCUAACGCAUUAAGCACUCCGCCUGGGGAGUACGGCCGCAAGGCUG